AUCUCCCGUGUGUGUGUGUGUGUGUGUGUGUGUGUGUGUGUGUGUCUGUGUGUGUAUGUGUGUGUGUGUAUGUCUACUUUUAAUACAACUUAAACAAAACAUAUAUAAAUUUGGGCUUCCAUCUAAUCUCAAUAUCCAUUGAGGAAUUGAGUAAUAGAAGCAGGCAAAACAAGAUUAUAACCACAAAUGACUGCACUUCAACAUGAUUACCAAUUUUAAGGGCCACAGAUACUUGAAUGUUUUGUAAUACCAAACCUAAAAAAAAAAAAUAGAUUAGAAAAACUGUAAUUCAUCCCCCUAGCACUUCUAAAUGUUGGUGUUAUUUCUGCAUGGACAGAUUAAUAUAUUAAAUUAAGCCAAGAUUUUAGACUGGCAAAAUUUCUAUCAUUCUACUUUAAAGAAAUAAAGAAGUUUAAAAACAAAAC